rnacentral:rRNA from 1 species
AAUAGAUACCCCGGUAGUCCACGCCGUAAACGAUGAGUGCUAAGUGUUGGAGGGGUUUCCGCCCUUCAGUGCUGCAGCUAACGCAUUAAGCACUCCGCCGUGGGGAGUACGGUCGCAAGACUGAAACUCAAAGGAAUUGACGGGGGGCCCGCACAAGCGGUGGAGCAUGUGGUUUAAUUCGAAGCAACGCGAAGAACCUUACCAGGUCUUGACAUCUCCUGACCGCCCUGGAGACAGGGUCUUCCCUUCGGGGACAGGAUGACAGGUGGUGCAUGGUUGUCGUCAGCUCGUGUCGUGAGAUGUUGGGUUAAGUCCCGCAACGAGCGCAACCCUUGGUUCUAGUUGCCAGCAUUCAGUUGGGCACUCUAGAGCGACUGCCGGGCGACAAGUCGGAGGAAGGUGGGGAUGACGGUCAAAUCAUCAUGCCCCUUAUGACCUGGGCUACACACGUGCUACAAUGGGUGUACAAAGGGCAGCAAAGCGGCGACGCAUGGAGCGAAAUCCCNGAAAAACCAGUUCUCAGUUCGGAUUGCG